UGGCUGAUUGGAUCAGCCAAUAGGAUUUUUUCUACCUUAAUUCCGAUUGGCUGAUAUAAUUCUAUCAGCCAAUCGCAAUCUAAGGGAUGCCAUCUUGGAUGACGUCACUUAAACUAAGGAACCUUCAUUCGUCGGGUAGUCGUCGGCAGAAGAGGAUGCUCCGCGUCGGAUGUCUUGAAGAUGGACCCGUUCCGCGCCGGAUGGAUGAAGAUGCUAUUUGGAUGAAGACUUCUACCGUCUGGAGGACCACUUCGUCCGGCUUGGAUGAAGACGUCUCCCGGUAAGUCGAUCUUCAGGGGGUUAGUGUUAAAAAAAUUUUUUAAAGGUGUAUUGGGUGGGUUUUAUUUUUAGGUUAGGGCUUUGGGCCGCAAAAGAGCUAACUGCUGAUUACUUUGGGGCAAUGCCCCGCAAAAGGCCCUUUUUAAGGGCUAUUGGUAAUUUAGUUUAGGCUAGGGUUUUUUUAUUUUGGGGGGGCUUUUUUUAUUUUGAUAGGGCUAUUAGAUUAGGUGUAAUUAGUUUAAAUAUCUGAUAAUUUGUUUUUUAUUUUCUGUAAUUUAGUGUUUUGUUUCUUUUGUACUUUAGAUAAUUGUAUAUAAUUUAGUUAAUUGUAUUUAAUUUAGUUAUUUUAUUUAAUUAUAGUGUAGUGUUAGGUGUUAGUGUAACUUAGGGUUUAUUUUAUAGGUAAGUAUUUAGUUUUAAAUAGGAAUAAUUUAAUUAAUGAUAGGAAUUUUAUUUAGAUUUAUUUAAAUUAGAUUUAAAUUAGGGGUGUUAGGUUUAGGGGUUAAUAAAUUUAAUAUAGUGGCAGCGACGUUGGGGACGGCAGAUUAGGGUUAAUACGUAUAAUGUAGGUGGUGGCGGUGUAGGGGGGGCAGAUUAGGGGUUAAUAACAUAAUGUAGGUGGCGGUGGGCUCCGGGAGUGGCAGGAUAGGGGUUAAUUAGUUUAUUAGAGUGGCGGUGGGCUCCGGGAGCGGCAGUUUAGGGUUUAAUAACUUUAUUUAGUUGCGGUGGGGUCCGUGAGCAGCGGUAUAGGGUUAAAACAGUGUAGUAUAGUGGCGGUGUUUAGUGACAGUAUACCAAUAAAGCUGUGAAAAAGCUGAAGAGCAGCGAGAUCGAUGACUAUUAGUUAACAACAGUCCGCUGCUCAUCGCCACGUACUUGGUGCGCGGCUUUUUGACAGCUUUUUUUGGUAACUUUGGAGAGCGUAUUCAGGUCUGCGGCAGCGAUGUUAGACGAUCUUAGGCGAGCGUAUUGGUGCAGUCGAAUGCAAGUAAGUUGACAGAUUGAUAAAUAGGCCCCUAUGUAUGUGGAGUUUUUCCUGUGCGGGCCGAUCAGUCUUAGAUUUAUUUUCCUUGUAACUGGGACUUAAAUGGACAUAAAACCUUUAAUUUAUUCUUUCAUGAUUCAGAUAGAGCUGUUAUUUUAAACAACUUUCAAAAUGUACUUCUAUUAUCAAAUGUACUUCAUUCUUUUGGUAUCUUUUGUUGAAGGAGCAGCAAUGUACUACUAGCUGAACACACUGGGUGAGCCAGCCACUGAACAGCAGCUAGCUCCCAGUAGUACAUUUCUGCUCCUAAGCCUACCUAGCUUUUCAACAAAGGAUACCAAGAGAAUAAAGGAAAUUUGAUAACGGAAGUAAAUUAUCAUAAUUUUCAUAAUUUAAACAGCGCGCUCAGCUAAAAACAACUUUACAAAUUUUAUUAUAAGGUACAAAAGUAUGUUCUUUUAUUAAAAAAAAAAGCACAACCCCCCCCCCCCCUCCCCUCAAAUUAUAGGUAACUAUUAAGCAAGUUAAAUACCACAAACUACAUAUAAACAAAGAAUCCUAUAAAACUGACACAUAGAGAGAGGAAUAGAAUGACACAUAGAGGGGGCACUCUGUGGAAGAACAGUACAGGAAGGGGAUAUGUAGAGCAGUGUUUUUCAACCAGUGUGCCACGGCACACUAGUGUGCGGUGAGAGAUCCUCAGGUGUGCCGCGGCAGACUGAGAACAGUGUGACAUAUUUUUUAAAUUUUGCUUGUUUUGAUGUGACAGGCUCAUCAGGCAGACAGGCAGGCAUCAUUUACAACCAUGACAUAUUGACAUUCAUUCACAGACAAUCAUUAUGAUGUAUAAUAUAUGCUGUAUUAGGCUACAAUGUGUAAUUUUGUAAAAUUUUGGUAUGGUGGUGUGCCGCAGGAUUUUGUAAUGUAAAAAAGUGUGCCACGGCAAAAAAAAUGUUGAAAAUCACUGAUGUAGAGCAAUGUUAAAAGCAUGAGGGCCUUAUUGCUGAGUCUUAUAUUGGACAAAUUGAGUGGAUCUAAGCUAUAAGGUAGAUGUCAAUAGUUGGAAAUGAUCUCUUCUCAAAUAGUGUUUGUUAUUAUGUGAGACUAGAAGUACUCCUGUAUGUGACACAUUUAGUCUUGUCUUGUACCAAUUGUACCCAUAGACUGCUCUGCAGAAUUUGUAAGCGCUUUAUAAAUAAAGUAUAAUAAUAAUAAAAUAA